rnacentral:lncRNA from 1 species
GUUUGUUUUCCUCAGACAGAUGUUCGGAUUAAUUUCGAUUUCCUCGCGAGGAAACAGAUUUUACAGGAGAGGAAGAAGAAGACGAAGGAGAGGAAGAGGAAGAGGAAGAGUAAAGUGUAGGUGCUUCUUAAACUCUCAGAUAUAGUAGGAGUAGUAACAAACACGCCACGUUAAAGAGACAGAGGGAGAGAGGAUCGAAGAGAGAGGAGAGAAACAGAGCAGCCAUCAUGGAGGUCUUUAAACUGACCCUAGAUCGAAUACCGCUCUCUGAUUGGACGCUGCAGAGGAGCUUAAUAACAGAGAAAAGAUGGACUCUUCAGAUAAGAAACAAACUCGACACUAGUGUUGUGUCGUUCGUGAAUGAUUCAUUAAAAAGAACCAAAUCUUUUAAGUGAACAUACUGCACCAAAUCACUUCCUCGAGUGAUUCGUUUGUUUCUCACUUCAGUUGAGCUGAAGGGGUCGCAGGCCUCUCCUGCCAAGCGUCAAGUGAUUCGGUGAUUUGGUGAACGAAUCUUUUUAGUGAACUGAUUCUAGUGAUUCAGUACAUCUAAAAGAACCGCCGUGCCCAUCACUAACGAGCCCAGAGAGUAAAAAAUCAGAGCAUCUCUCUUAUUCAUUAACAAACAAAAAUAAUGAGCCUCAUGAAGUCCCUGAAACUCUAAACCUUUUGUUUCCAUAGUUACCAUCAGUGUGUGAAUCUGACAUGAAAUGCAGAAGCGCUUAGAGAGGUCAGAAGAAUCGCAUCUAUCCAUGAAGCUCUGGAGGGAGGAGUGAAGGCCGCUCAAUUAAGUCGAAGUAGAUUGGGAAGAGGAGGAGGAGGAUUUUUGAGGAGGAGGAAGAAGAGGAUGAGACGAGUGUACAGUCUGGGUGUUUGCGGAUGUUGAUGAGUUUUCAGUGUGAUUAUCGUGAAGCUUCAUGAAGAGACUGAAACACGACAGUAACCCAGUUUAUCCUGUCAGAACAUCACACUACAUUACUGACACACACACACUUCCACACACACGCUGUGUUAAACAGGAUUAAACAGCUUGAGUAUAAACUCCGCUGUCACUGCUGCACCGUAAAAACAUUCAAAUACAGAAUUAGUUUUUAUUAAUAUCGUUUUUUUCACCCAUUUAGUCGCAGCAGGCCCUUCCUCUGACGGCUCAUUAAACAGUUUUCAUUAGUAAAGAAAUCUUAUGUGAUGAUAUGGGCUGGAUUUAUUCUCUGAUACUGUAAGUUAAAUUAAUUUACAGUAUCUCUCAUUUACCAUCAUCCCUCUUCGUUUAAGUCUGUUUACUUUAGGAACGUCAAACUUUUGAACCUUUUUUCGUAGGAGAAUCUAAGUUUGCUCAGCCAGCUGUCUUCAAAUCAAUAAAAACAAACACUGUGGUGCAACAUCUUGCAACAUGGCUGCCUGCAGAUGGGAAAGCAGAGAAAACAUCAGUUUUUAUGAAGGACCGGACAUGUUAAUAUUUCCCGUUCAGACCGGAGUGUCUCUCUUUCUUACCUUGGUGUGUUGUACCAUCCUGCAGUCGUCCUCAGAGGAGUCACAUGACGUUACAUGCAUGAAAGUGACAGCUGUUAGGCCCUCAAAGCAGAAGUCUUCGUUUAAUAUAGAUGCAUGUUUGUAGAUCUUCUUGCAGCAGGUCAGGUUAGAUCAGAGUGUGUCCCUGCAGAGUCCACUUUGAGUCUUUGAGUCCGUGUAAAUAUAAAAAAGGAGUUUAUAUUUAACAGGUAGUCAGAGCGUGAACUAUAUUAGAUCAUGUGACGAGUUUAAACGAGACUUUUCACGAACCGCCAUGUUUUCUGUUUUUAUUUUCAGGCUUUAAGGUUCUGCUUUUAUUUUUUUCAAAGACGGAACAACAACAGCCUGAAUGUCUGGAGUCUUAAAGAUUACCCCACCUACACACACACACGCACACACACACAUACAUACACAAGUGCAGGCACACACUUAGUGUAAAUGUCUGUGUGCUCUUUACUCCGGCUAAGCUGCAGGGAGCUGCAGAACGGCUUUGGCUGAUGAUAUUUGGCCACGUUUGAUGUUCGACUCUCUCUGUGUGUGUGUGUGUGUGUGUGUGUGUGUGUGUGUGUGUGUGUGUGUGUGUGUGUGUGUGUAGCCUGCAGAGAGAGAAAUAGGACAGGAGGAAACAUACAGUCUGUCCUGGACUCACCUGGAAAAAAGCAGCAGGUUUUUGAGCUCACUCCUGUGUGUUUCCUUCUUUACCUGCAUCGACACGCACACGUACACACACACAUGUACACACAUCUGUACCUGCAGCUUGAAUUAUUAUCCACACCCACUUUCAUUCCCAGUUUGUGUAUUUAUAGAAAUGAUCUGGAGAGGUGUUAUUAUCUUGCUGAAUAAAAUAACCACCCCUGCAUUUAUGUCAGCUCUGCUUUAACUCAAUCUCUCUCCGCAUGCGUUUAUUUUUUAUCCUCCUGUUUGAUAUUUUAUUGCAUAUUAAGAUUUAAAACGCUCGUCCCUUUUGCCUCCUUAUAAGAUUCCUAACGGUUAACCUGCUCCUUGUAUCAAAUAUAAUUUAUACAGUCUUUUCAUGUGAUUGUUUUCGCACAGUGUCUGAUAAGGACAAAUGCUGCAAAGUCAAAAACUACGACAAAGUAUCAGGGCCACAUUAAGAAAAACAUUAAGACUUCUAGAUGAAAGUCAUUGACUUAAGAGAAUAAAAUCAUUACUAACGAGAAUAAAGUCGUAAUAAAGUUAUUACUUAUGGGAAUAUAGUCAGAAUAAAGUCCUUAUAUUCUAACCUGCUGUUUAAAAUGACACUUGUUGAAAUCAGAGCCGUGGAUCAUUUUGUGAAAAUGUACUUCAAUAUAUGUUUCUCAAACAAGGAGAUACUUCGUCUUUAGGCACAUCAACACCACAUUAUCAUAAGUGUAAGAGUAGUAGUUGAUUACAAAUGGAUUCUUGUAAGUAAUUACUGUAGUACGACUUUAUUCUCAUAAGUAAUUACUUUAUCAGGACUUAAAUUUCAUAAGGAAUUACUUUUAAAAUUUUAUUUUUUCUUUAGUAGUAUCAUUAGUAGUAUCUAACUUUAUUCUUAUGAGUAAUUACUUUAUUACAACUUUAUUCUCAUUAGUAAUGACUUAUUCUCGUAAAUUAAUGACUUUAAUCUCAAACUCUUUUUUUUCUCUUUUUUUUCUUGAAGUCUUAAUUUUUUGUUCUUAAUUUGGCCCUAAUAAUCCAUCGUCAAAAACAUGUGCAAAAAGUCUGAGAUAAAUGCAUGGGUGAAAACUAACGCAGAGCAGCUUCAGUCUGCUACAGGUCACAGUUAGCUGUGCAGGUAGCAGCUGCCUGUGAGAUGUUGGGAGGAUGGUGUUGUUUAUUUCUCCAACACCCACAGGAGCUUCAGAAAACCUGAGUUAUCAGGUCCACGGUCUUGUGUGCUGAGUGGAAAAGUGGGUGUGAUGGUAGAGUCACCGGAGUGUCUUAAAUUUAGUUCAAGUUGGUUGGAGUAAUAAUAGACGACCAAAAAUGAGAAAUAUCAUCAUUCCUUUAGCUUGUUCUGGACUUUGACAGGAGGCGUAGUCGGGAUAGGAGACGAGUAGAAAGGCUGUCAGGAUCGGUUCUUAACAGUUUAGCGUAGCAGCCGAAGAAGCUUGGAGUCAAACCUGCAGGAUUCCUCUGCACUGCUGACUCCAGCUUCCUCCGGCUACAGACCUCAGUUAGACGAGGUAGAGGCAGCUGACUCUGCCCAGGUUCAGGCUCCGAGGACAUGGGCAUGUUAGAGACGAAGCUCUUUUGGCUGUGAACCUGCUCAGGUCGCUCAGGUCUCCUGAGGUAAAGAGAAACGAUGCCUGACAUCCCCUCCACUUCUAUCUCAUCCUCGCUAUUACUGGUGUCAGACUCUCCCGGCUGUACGCUCUUAUAUCAAACUCUGCUGCUUUCCUAUCUUUAUGUCUGUGCUACUAUAAACCUGUUUCCUUUUGGCACCAAAGGGCCUGAAGUUUGUUUUGUUUUUCGGCCUUGCAUUGACCGUGUAUUUGCAGCUCAUUUCCUGUUAAUGUGGUUGUUCGGUUUUUUUACAUUUUUCAGGCGAAUUGAAUUUCAAUCGUUGCGAAUCUCGUCAGCCACCCUACUUUAGAUGAUACUGUAUGUCAGAGCUGCUGACACUGUAUAUAUAAGAUUGCAUUUCUUCUGAGUAUCCACCAGGUGCAUGAUGGGAAAUAAUCUUGUGCAAGGUAUAAUCUGCAAAUAGUGACCCUGAGAGAUGGCGGUCACCGAACCGAGGGCUGCGACACGUUUGAAUGUGUUCCUGUAUCUAAACCACCAUCACAAUGAUCUGAAGGAACUGUGACCUGUGUGAGUGUGAGUGUGUGUGUGUGUGUGUGUGUGUGUGUGUGUGUGUGUGUGUGUGUGAGUGUGAGUGAGUGUGUGAGAGAGAGAGGAGAUAAAGAAUCAUCUGAAGCACAGGAAUGCCGCCCUUCAAGGAUGAGUAAACACAGAGCUGACCUGCAGCACCACCGUGUCCGUGUGUGUGUGUGUGUGUGUCUGUGUGUGUCUGUGUGUGUUGCACAGCAUCUCAGUGUGAUCUUCAUGGGCGAUAAAGCCUCUUUAAAGCUUCAUCUCCCUGCCAUAAGUCUCUGGUGUGUGUCUGUGUGUGUGUCUGUGUGUGUGUCUGUGUGAAUAUCAGACAGGGAGUGUCCUGCGGUGUUGCAGACUGUGUGUGUUUGUGAAUGUAUGUAUGACUGUCUUUGCUUCCUGCAUGGCUGCACACGUGUGUCUCUUUUUUCCAUAUUUGUGUUGGUGUGUGUGUGUGUGUGUGUGUGUGUGUUUGUGUGUGUGUGUGUGUGUGUCGUUGUGCCUCGGGCUGUUUCCUCUUCUUCUCUUGUCUCUGAGGCUCUCUCAGUCUCUGAACAGUGACUGUCUAAUCUGACCUCACAGCUCCGUCUCUCUGUUCCUAUUUAAGCAGUCAGAUAGACAAGUCCCCUCCCUCUGAAGCUCCGCCCCCACAGGUCACAGAUGCUUAUCGCCAUGGCGAUGUCUCUUACUACUGACCGACAACAAUCGUAUGAUGACUCAGAGUCUGCAGCCCAGAGAUUUAUUCUCUUUACGCUGACAGACUGUUUUAAAUGUAUGUCCUGGAACAAAGAGGUGGUACUGUCUCAUCUGUCUCAUUUGUCUCUCAUUUGUCUCUCCUUUCUCACAAGUCUCACUAAUCUCAUGUUUGUCUCAUCAGUCUUAAGGGUCUUACAGGUUUAAUGAGUGAAGUCUCACCUCUCUCAGAAGUCUCACUUGUCUUGUUAGUCUCAUCUGUCUCUCAUCAGUUUCAUUUGUCUUUCAUGUUACAUUAAUCUUACCUGUCUCACCUGUAUCAUAAUUCUUAUCUCUCUGAUCAUUCUCAAUAGUCUCAUGAUUCCUGCCUGUCCUAUCAGUCUCACCUGUCUAAUCAGUGUCACCCGAGUCUUACCUGUCUCAUCAGUCUUAAGGGUCUUAAAGGUUUAAUGAGUGAAGUCUCACUUGUCUCAAAGUCUCACUUGUCUUGUUAGUCUCAUAUCAUAGUCUCCUAUCAGUUUUACCUGUCUCAUCAGUCUCAUCUGUCCUAUCAGUCUUACCUGUAACAUUAGGCUUAGUUUUACCUUUAUUAUCAGUCUCAGUCAUCUCAGUAGCUUCCUCAUUUCUCAUUCUUUUAAGUGUUACCUGUCCUAUCAGUGCAUCAUUAGUCUUACCUGUGGUGUUAGCCAGUUCUUAUUUUAACGUGUUCUAUAACAUUCAUUUACUUUUUAAGUCCUGACUGUCUUAUCAUCUUGAUGACUCACUUCUGUGUCAAUGCCUUGUCUCAUCAGUCUUGUAAGUCUCAUGUACCUUACCUGUAUCAUAUUCUAUCUACUGGGAUCACUGUAUCAUCUUUGCUUUAUUUAUUUAUAGUUCUCUCGUGUUCUCAUAGUUUCUCAUCUCAUGUCACUUUUUUUUUCACAAGUUUCUUAUUUCUCUCUGCUCUCUGCUUAGUCUCUACAGACACUGUAAGUCCUUUUUUGACAUUGGCUUUCCUUUCUUAGCAGUCUUGUCAGUCUCACCUGUCUCAUUUACCUUACCUGUGUCAUAUUCUAUAUGCUUCGAUCUCAUCACUGUAUCAUUACUUUCUCAAUAAUUUCACCCGUCUUAUAACUCUCAUCCAUCUUAACACAUAUCAGUCUCACCUGUCUCCUUUAUUGCAGGUUUCUUAUAGGUCUUCUUUCCUCAUAGUUUCUCAUCUCAUGUCCCUUUUUUACGAGUCUUUCCUGUCUGAUUUCUCUCUACUUUAGUCUCUACAGACACUGUGAGUUCUUUUUUGCCAUUGGCUUUCCUUUCUUAUCAGCCUUGUUCGUCUCACCUGUCUCAUUAGUCUCACCUGUGUCAUCACAUUAAGUUGUAUGAAUUGGUUUUUGGUUGAAAUUUGGUUUUAUGCUAAAAUAUGUAAUUAAUGAAUAACAAUUAGGCUUAUCUUGCUCUUCACUUUGAGCUCGUUUCUUAUCUAUUAAUUACAAAUCCGUUAUAGUCUCACACUGACACACAUGCUGCUGACUAUUAGGGAUUUUCCAUCACACAGAGAUUUUACAGAGAAAACUGCAUUGUAAUCAUAAUUUUGUAUGUAUUUUAUGUUAUAUACACAUAUAUUAAUGUAUAUGAAUAAUGUAUAUGAUCCAGCUUAACCUGCAUGAAUCACCCAGACUGCUCUUUUUCUGUCCUGGUCUCUAAAACUCUGUCUGUGAGUGUCAUCAGUAUCUGUAAUUCAAAUCACACACACACACACACACACACACACACACACACACACACACACACACACACACACGCUCUGUCCUACUUAUUUCUCUUUUGGUCCGUCCAUUAUCUCUGCGCUUUUUGCUCGCCCGUCAUCUCUUUCAUCUCUCCCUCUCUCUAUGCCCUCGUUCCUCUGCUGCCUUUGUCAUCCUCUCUAUCACACACACGCACCACGCACACACACAUGCACACAUGCACAUGCACACACCCCAAGGGUAAGAUCUCAAACAUCACACUUGUGUGAAUAACUGCGAACUCUCCACUCAAAACUGAUAAUAAAAUACACACACUCACACACACACAGAGGAAGCAUGAGAGUGCAUGUGUGUUUGUGUCCAUGAGUGAAUUUGAUCAAAGGAUUUUAAAAAAAAAAGUGCAGUUUUUAUUUUUUUUAAUGUUGUAUAAACAGUCAAACUGUUUCUGCAAUGAUACACUGUGUUCCAGGAAGUAGCCACGGCCUCCCCCUGUUAUUAUCCAUCCACACAGACAGAAACACCGAGUCCUCUGACGUCCUCAAACAGCAGGGUGCCUGUUUGGGAGCUGAUGUGUUUUCACCAAGAAAAACAAGAACAUAAGUUACAGAAAUAUCUGAAAUAAACAAGUUGGAGCUGAUAGAUGUUUAAGUUGUCGGUAUUUUUUCGCAAAGUUAGAAGAGAUUAAAAAAAGAACAUGAAUGUCCGACACAGUAAUUACAAGGAUACAUCUCUUAAACAGUUCGGCUUCAAAUUUGUAUGAUGAUGGAAGGUUACCUACCUGGUAGCUAGACAGUAUUGACUUAGUAGUUAUCAUGUAGUUACCAGAUAAUUUCAUGUUGUUACUAGGUAAUUACCUGUUAAAUACCUGGUAAUAAGUGUACCGUAAAAGAAAGCGUUACCAAUAGUGCUGCUGAAAAAACCCAUAUGGCCCCCUAGUUUUGGGGAGGAGGACACUUUCACAUCAAUAAUUCGAUUUUCUCAGCUGCAUGUAUACACAGACAAGGUGAAAAAAACAAAAUUUUCCACGGUCCAAACAGAACAGGAACAUUGUUAGGAAUACGUCAUCAUUGCAAAGAGUCUGUCACUUUGUCCACAAACAUGUUGUAAGCAUUUACAGCGAGUUUCGGAUGUCAGAUCCGCCAUCCCUCUUUUCUGACAGGAAAGACUCCAGGCGGUAAAGAACAUGUGAAUAAACAACCGUGGGAAAUUUCAGGGGCAGAGCUCCUGGAAAAGUCUGAAGAAGUGUAUGAGUGUGUGUGUUAGUGUGUGUGUGUGUGUGUGUGUGUGUGUGUGUGUGUGUGUUCCCUGCAGCAGUACUGUGUGAGACGCUGAAAAGUCUUUCAGUCAAAGAGGAUCUCUCAGUAACUCUUUAUGUGUGUGUGUGUGUGUGUGUAUUAAUGUGGGUGUUAGAAGGGACUUUAUUGUCUCCCUAACAACAGACUCUGUUGGAGGUUAAUUAGCCAAUUAGCAGCGUUACCAUGGAAACGCUAAAGAGUAAGAAGCUCUUUCUAUAGAAAACAGUCUGGUUGUUUUUUUCAGAGUUUCUUCAAACAGGAGGAAAAACUGUCUGAGGAAAAAUAAGAGCUUAUUUAUACUUCCUAAUGCAUCACACGCUGUGUACUAAUUUAUUUAUAUGUUUGGAGGGCAACAGCGGGGCAACAGUAAACAGCUUAUAUGACUGAACAUGUUUAAAGGUCAGAGUGUUUUAAGAGGCAAAAUAAAAACAUGUCAGAACCACACACACACACACACUGAAUUCACGAGAUAAACAAACCGAGACUGAACCGAGAAAACAAACCGAACAGAGCAGAGGGAGGUUUGCUUUUAGGUUUUAUCUUCUUCUUCUUCUCUGCUGUGGCAGAGGAGCAGGGAGGAGAGCAGGGAGGAUGUUUGAGUUUGAGAGAAGAGAGAAACUCUGCAAAACACUGACACACACCGAAACACAGUCAGACACAACGUGACGUAACUGAGAGAACAACGAGACAUGAAGGACCAACAGGCCGUGAAACCACACACUAACACACACUAACACACACACCAAAGUGCUGGAGCUGAGGGUGUUGGAUCAGCGUCUGAUGGAUGAAUCUCAGAGCCGCUGAUUCCAUUAUAUAUAAAUACACCUGCUUUGAUAUUGAGCUGCAGAAUAAAACGAUCUGUCUGGACUUUAAAAUCAGAGACAGCGAAAUCUGACGAUGGCGCUGAUAUGAUCUGUGGUGUUGAAGCCAAAACUGGUACUGAAUCUGUCCAAUCUGCUGAUUCUGUCUGUGGUGUUGAUGUCCGUAGUGCUGGAGGAGUUUGUAGUGCUAGAACUGGUACUCAAUCAGUAACUAGUACUGAAACUGUACCUGAUACUGAAACUGAAUCUGUAUCUGGUGCUGAAACUGCCUAAGGUGCUGAUUCUGUCUGUGGUUCUGAUAUUGUCUGUAGUGCUGGAACCGAUUUUAGUGCUGGAACUGUCCAAGGUGCUGAAGGUGUAAGUGACGCUGAAUCUCUCUGUGGUGCUGGAACUGUCAGUGGUGCUGAAACCGUCCAUGACUAUCCGUCAAUAAUGUCUCUGAUCCAUAAUCUGUCUGUGGUCAUUGUUAGGAUGAGUUUCUUUAGCCAGUCAUGUCAGCCUUUAGAGUGGUGGAGCUGUGUCACUCAAAUACCCCAGACACUUUGGUGUUAGAUUGCUGGAGCCGGGGGCCUCCUACAACCAUCCCUGAGCAAGGAACCCUGUACACAUUAUUUACACCAUGUAGGUCCCCAAAAUAUGUUUGCCAUGAUAUUUCCUUCUUGGGACCUUCCACAUGUUCAUCUAAGGCUUUUGAAAUAUGUUGUCCUUUGUUUUUACCAUACAUGGUUUUCUCUUAGGGUCAACUAAAUACCAACAGUAUGUUUAGGAUUGUGAAUCGCUAUAUAUACUUGAAUGGUCUUGGACCACUCUUGGCUACACUCAUGUUGGCCACACUUGGGGGUGGACCGCUUUUUGCUACACUUGGGGUGGUCACUCUUUGCUACACUUGGAGAGGACCACUGUUGGUCACACUUGUGGCCUGCUGAAGCUGUAACCCAGAUAUGUAAUCAGUAAAGCUUGUCAAAAUGAUCAUUCGUGUGGACCUUCGAUUCUUUCUAGUGUGAACCUGGGCUAGGCAUCCUUACAAUUUGGCGUCACGAACAGGAUUAAUCACCAAAAAAAGGUAAGCAUCUUUAAUUAUUCAAUCCACUGGUGAUUGUAUUGCUUACCUGAUUUGAGCAUUAAAAAAGAUACCUCUGCUAUGGGAUGCCUAGUAGCCCUUGUACAAUUGGCUUCUAAACUUUUGAUAGUCUGAAUGGAUACUGUAUUUAAUUUAAUACAACAUUAAUAGUUCCCUGAAUUUGCUUGCUGAGAUGUGUCGAUAUUAAUCAAUAUUAGGGUGGGCCCACUCGCAGUAGAUGGAUAGUGUGAAUAUAGGUGUCCAGAGAGACAAGAAUAGACACUGAAGUCCUUGGAGGACAUGUUGAUAAAUAUGGAAUUGGUACCUCUGUUUUUUUAUAAGAAGACGUCCUUGGAUGACGUGGUUGUGUUAUUGGUACUUCUGUCUAAGUGUCUGACGGCCUGACCGCUCGACGGCCCCGAUUCAGUCAUUAGCAGAGUGGUACUACUGGUUUUUUAUAUGAAGACGUCGUUGGACGACGCGGUUGUGUUAUUGUUGUUACUGUUUAAUAGUCUGACGGACUGACCGCACGACGGCCCCGAUUCAGUCAUUAACAGGUACUUCUGUCUCUGUUUGAACGGACUGACCGCUUGACGGCCCCGAUUUAUUCAGUGGCAGUUGUAGUGUGAUUAUGUAUCUACGUAUUGCAUAAUAUCGACCCAUACCAGUCUCAAUUCUUCAGGAUGUAUUUUUUUUUAAAGAUGGAAUUUGACCUAAAGUACAGAUGGAUGAACCACACGAACCUUUUGACGCUUUGCAUACUCACAAAUAACCAUAGAUUUACUAAUCGCAAGUAAUAAUCCUCGCACUGAGGUCACAGACCAGUAAAUUCAGAAAAGCCACGUGGUAAAAAAAUAAAAAUAAAAAUAAAAAUAGCUAAAUAAAUAAAUACAAAGAAAAAUCAAAGCUAGAUCUACCAAGAAAAGGAUGAAAAGUGAUCAAUGAAAUGCUUGAAACUGUUCCACAGUUAGACAUCGUUCCAAUCAUGUUUGUAGUUUAGAUGUCAGCCAGGGAGUGGGUGCAAGUGAAGCUGGGGUUCUAUUACGAUGAACCUUUUUAUAAAUUUGGCUGAGUGCUCUGACGAUGGAUUUUCUAUGGACAACAGUUUUAAUAAGAGAAAAGAAAAAAAAAAACUAAUAAGUAUCAGAAUGAUAGGAAAGUAUAAAAAAUAACAAAAAUAGAAACAGAAGGAAAUAAGAUGUUGUACGAGAGUAUCUAAUGAAUAACAUAACCAUUGAUAGUUUUCUAUGGAAUCAAGACUACAUGACAAAGGUGUAGAUUUAGAUGGCUCAUCAGUUUCCUCUGAAUCUUAGUAAGCUUAAAAAAGAAAAACAAAAAGUUUACUCUAUGACUUAAGAAACUGUUCAAGUAAAAUAUGAAGAAGCAAGCUUAUUUUUACACCCUCUUGCAGCUCCUAGGUUCAGUGUCUCCUCAUGUAAACCUACCUAGUGCGUCUGUGAAGUAUGUAAGUUAUGAAGAUGACAGUUCACUAUUUGUACAUGUUAAAUUACGAUGAACAGCCCUGCCCAAUGCCAACAAAAGUAGUCCCCUUGUUAUACUCAGAUGUUGGGAGGGUCAAAUCUUUCAACAUAUAUCCUUUAAGAUAAAUGUAUUCAUCAAUGUAUCCAGAAUUGUAAUACAAUUUAUGACUUAACAGAAAGUGUAUAUCUGACACAGGUCAAAGCCUUAGUGACAGAGUGAGACUGUAAAAGGAUACCUGGCAUGCACAUUCAAGGCAUAUUUCCCAUACUUAUAGUAAGUCAUGACUGACAGAUGCCUUCACUGUCAUGUAACUGGACCCGUAGUAGGACAGCCUCCUGUGGGAAGGAGCAGGAGUCCUCAAAAAAGUAAUGUGAACCAAGUACAACUUCACUUUAUGCCUCAAAUAACCUCUGAUCUCUUUUUGCAGAAUGAUUCUUAGAGGAUGGGGUAUGGUGCCAAUCAAGGAACCAAGGGUUUUCAGGAGGAGGAACAAGAUCCUGAACAAAUUGAAUUGGCCAUUUGAGUAGUUUUUCUGUUCAAUCUAUUGGUAUCUCUGGUCACUCCAACAAGGCCUUGAUUAGGAUAACAUCUCUUUCAUGCAACAGUUACUGAUAGUCAGUGCUAAGACAUCAUCCGGUCUACUGCAUCUGAACCAACAACAUUGAGAUUUUGAAGAGUGAGGACAAACAUCAAAUUUCUACAGAGGAAAAUAGUCACUCAAUAAAGUAGUGUAAUCCAUUGCUUUAAUAUUGUCUGAUAUUGACUCAGUUUUAACCGCACAACCUUCUAAUUCUAGCUUCUAUACUAACUCAAUUCAUGCUCUGUAUAUUUCUCUAUCAUUGUACAUAAAGAGACACAAAAUUUCUCUACGUUUACGUACACGAAUUAAUAAUAUGGCUGGAAAGAACUACCUAUGGGAUUUGUUGAUUUCGCCACAGGUUAUUUAGCUGUCGAUUUGCACUUGUCUCAUCCAACUUUGCCAUGUCAAUCCUGUAUCCUCCAGUAUUCGGAUGACCUGCUUCUUUACCCAGAGACUGAAAAGACUUCAUACUGGAUUCCUUGGCCCCAUGGAUACAUUUGGCCGAGACAGGUCACAGGACAUUCCUUGCCGAGCUUCAAUUCUGCUGAGAAUCUGUCAACUACCUUGAAUACAUCUUGAGAGCUGGGUGCAGAUAUCUCUCUCCUGAUUGUGUGACAGCCAUAAAGGACACUGAAGGACCAUGUUAAAAAAAAAAAAAAGAACAAACCUGAACAGGUAUCCCUUCUGCGUCUGGUGGACUAUAGUCAAGCAUGGCUGGUAAUUAUGCCGUCCAUGAUCCUAUGCUCCAAGAGUCAACGCCCUAGGAUGCACUGGACAUUAUGAACUGGACUAAUGGCAUGAAACACGUCUUUCGUUGUAUCGAAUAUUUUCUCUGCACUGCUCCAACAUCAAGAUUUCCGGAGUACAACCUGGGCUUUCACCUUCGUAUGGCGGAUGACAAGAGUCCCCACUGCUGUUCUGACGAGGGUGCUUGAUUAAGGAUUGAGACCUGUUGUCUAUUAUUCCAAAUCCCCAACGAUACUUGUUCAAAUGAUAGUCUCAUGUUUGCGAGCUAUGAUGGCUGUGGCGAUUACGUUUAAAUAGGCACAGACUACAGUGUUACGAUAUCCACUAAUACAGCAUGCUAUACACACAGUGAAUGUUGGUCACCGCAACAUAAUCACACAGCAUAUCAGUCUGAGGUGAUGAACCUAAAAACGCAUGUUAGCUGAAACACCAAAACUUCCCUUUUCAACAGUCACUUAUAUUUAUCUAGUGAUACACUUGAAGUCAUUGCUGCAUGGUAACAAAGAGAUGGCUGAAAUUCCGUCACUAGAUUGCUUGAACUUAAUCAAUUCGACAUUUAGAGUAAGAGUUAAGAUGCAACAGACUCCACUGGAGAACUAUGAUUUUAUGGUUAUGCGCGUAGACCCUACAAUGGCAGGUUAUGCACUUGUUGAUAAUCAAAAUUAAGAUGUUGUAUCCUACACGCUAUUGUGAAAUGUAACAACACAUUUACUAUCUGACAAAGAAGUGACCAGAGACAACGAAAAUUAGCAGACAAUUUGCAAAAGAAAAAGCGGCACUUGAUGCACCAUUUCCUCCUUGAUUGGUUCCUAGUUCCCAUCCAUACAACCUUCUGUGCCGCCGUUUUCCGUUGAUGACUUAAUUUUGCUUUAAAGCCGGGCCACUGAUUUUAAAGUAAACAUAUAACAGAUAAAGAAGUGUAACAGGGUUGCUGAUGUAUUAUAAAAAUAUGAUGGGCAACAGAUUACGCUCCCUUAACUAGCGUACGAUUUACUCCUAGCUUACAUUCAUAGUGUCACGAAUGCAAUUUGUACAGUUGUUACUAACGACAUCUCUAUCUGUGAGUUGUUUUUCUCUCUAGGACUGGAAGGACAGCUCAACGUUUGGUGGACAUGUGAAGAAAAGGGGGUAGAAUAGUCAAACAAUCCAAAGGCUAAUGACUCAUGUCAAAAGAACUAUGACUAGGAAGAUGCAUGUGCCUCUUUAUGGAUUGCUUAAACUGCUAGGUUUGACCAAGAAAGAGAAGAAACCUCAGAUAAAAAUGUUAACAAUUACCAAUUCGUCAUAAGGCCUGCUAAAAUUUACACUAGAUUUUUAGUCUUAGCAGCCAAAUCUCUCAAGGAUUCCAGAGAACUUCCAUUUUCUGUACACUAAUCAUAAUCUGUUUGUGAUGUUGUCAAUACGUCUUUUGUGCAGGAUCCAGUCCAAACAGCGUAUGCCCUUAUCUCUUCCCCAUUCAAAUGGAAACCGUGGGUCUCCGAUUCUGAGUCAUCUGAGUCAUCAGGAGAUUCCAACGAUGGGAUGGCAUAUAUCCUGACCAUAUAUGAUGUUCCCCAUGUGAUCACAGUGUCGGUCACCAUUUCAGAGAUUCUAGUGUAAAAGUAUCAUUCUCCACCACGUAUUAGCUGACACAAGAUACAUCACUCCACUGAGUUAAAAGAACAUGCUUUACUUUAGUUGCAAUAUAAAAUUAUCACCUAGAUUACUUUCAGGUGGAUUGAUAAGUUCUGUUUUCGCGGCUUUUGUUCAUGGUUUUGUAGGGUUUAGCUGGUUCAAUUGUUGAUCUAGGGUAGAGGGUGGCCUCAAAUCUGACGGCCCUUUGUGGGCUGGUUUGGGUGGCUGACCCUUCUUAUGUUUGUUUCAUCAAUCCACUCUUUUGUUUUAAGUGACCCUGGUCACCAGUCUUAUUUAUCAUCUGUUCCAGCAGCAAUUAUUUAUGAACAAUUGGCAUGUUUAAAGAAAAAAAAAAAAAAAAAAAAAAAAGUGAGGACUGUUAGGAUGAGUUUCUUUAGCCAGUCAUGUCAGCCUUUAGAGUGGUGGAGCUGUGUCACUCAAAUACCCCAGACACUUUGGUGUUAGAUUGCUGGAGCCGGGGGCCUCCUACAACCAUCCCUGAGCAAGGAACCCUGUACACAUUAUUUACACCAUGUAGGUCCCCAAAAUAUGUUUGCCAUGAUAUUUCCUUCUUGGGACCUUCCACAUGUUCAUCUAAGGCUUUUGAAAUAUGUUGUCCUUUGUUUUUACCAUACAUGGUUUUCUCUUAGGGUCAACUAAAUACCAACAGUAUGUUUAGGAUUGUGAAUCGCUAUAUAUACUUGAAUGGUCUUGGACCACUCUUGGCUACACUCAUGUUGGCCACACUUGGGGGUGGACCGCUUUUUGCUACACUUGGGGUGGUCACUCUUUGCUACACUUGGAGAGGACCACUGUUGGUCACACUUGUGGCCUGCUGAAGCUGUAACCCAGAUAUGUAAUCAGUAAAGCUUGUCAAAAUGAUCAUUCGUGUGGACCUUCGAUUCUUUCUAGUGUGAACCUGGGCUAGGCAUCCUUACAGUCAUUGAUCGGUUUGUGGUGCCAAAUCCACAGGGAGAACUAUUUCACAUCCAAAGAACUUUAAUGUGAUCUCAUUACAGAUACUUUUAUUCUCUUCUUACUCACUUUGCUUUUAGCUUCAAUUUGUUAAUUACAACACAAUUAAAGUCCCAAAUUAACGUGUUGGUAACGUGUUGGUAACUUGUUGUUUUUUUUUACUAUCACAAAAACCUUGUGAUUUUUUAGAUUUCUACUUGUUCACAAUUUGAAUAUUUUUGAUAAAAUCUGCAGUUUAACUUCUACUAAAAUACAGCAAUUAACCACAACAACAACACUCAUCUGACAGCCCCGGUGAUUCAUCAGCAGUCGUGUUUUUGUGACCAAAACGAAUUCAGUCUUCUGCAUGUAAUUGUCUCUUUCAUCUAUGCCAUUACCUGUGCAGUAUGUACAAACAGUUUGUCCCAAUUUUCCAGACCUUAUCACUCAAAUCUCUUUCCUUUCCUUUACUCCUUUCCUUUCGUUUCCUUUCGUUUCCUUUCCUUUUUCCCUCCAGCACAGGGAUACUGACCUCUUGACCUCUUAUAUAUAUAAGUAUAUUUAUACUCCCACUCCCAUCCUGUUCAAUGCUGUGCUCUUGUUGUUGAAUUGUAAAGAGCGGUUUCAGUUCUGGCAGCCUUAAUGGAGGCCUGCAGGGACGGUCCGACUGUAUUCUGUCUGUUCUCUAAAUACUCAGAUUUAAUUCAAUCUGCAGCUCAGAUUAUCCCUCUGAACACAGACCUCAAACUGGACCAGCUCCUGCAGAACACCCAACAUUACUGCUACAAGUUUCUGCCCUGACAGAUGAGGACAGAGAGAGAAUGAGAGGAGGAGGAGGAAGAGGAAGAGAGGAGGAAGAUUAGAGAGCGAAAAGGAGGAGGAAGGAGGAAACAGAAAGUAGGAGGAAAAGAUGGAUGAGUGAGGGAAGAGGAGGAAAUGGAGACUUUGGUGCUGCAGUGAUGAGUUCAGCCUCCAGACCUACACACACACACACACACACACACACACACACACACACACACACACACGCACGCACACACACAAACUCUGCAGUCAUGGUUGAGCUAACAAAGGCACUAGCCUCGGUCCUCAUCUCUCAGGAGAUGAACUGGAGCUGAUAAAUUUAGCAAAAACACAACUCCCCUCGGGCCACACUAACACACACAGCAAACACACACACACAAACACACACACACGCACACACACACACAGCGCCCCCAUCUCUGCCUCCUCUUUGUACGUGUGAGUUUCUUAAAAAGGACACAAGGAUCCAUUCAGAGGUCAAAACCUGACAAGUGAAGGAGAGACUGAGGAUGAAAGGAAGGAAGGAAAGGAUGUAAGGUGACAGAGGAAGGACAGAGGAGAGAAUAAGAAGGAGGAAAGAGCGGACAUGGUUGAAACUGGUUUAAUUUGGUGCGAAUCGGAUCAGCUUGGUGUUCUGGAAGUUUCUACUCCAUGACCCUGUUUUUAAGGAACGCUGGCUCAGCAGAUUUAAUUUUAGGGCGUUUCAUCUUCACAGAAAACCGACUGAAGACUGAAGGAGGACAGAUAAAUAUGGAGGUUAGAGCCGAUCAGACGUUCGGCCGAGUCUAUUCUUAAAUCAAACACAGAUUUUAUCUCUCGUCACAUAAUGAGGAGAUAAAACUUGGAGCAGGACGAGUAAAACAGAGAGAAUAUUUAACGAGGAUUAACGGAUAAUACGGGUCAACACACAGCCUCAGAAUCCAUCGCGGAUUAUUAUUAAAAAGCAUCAUAUUUUUGUUAAUUAGUAUCAUAAAAUAAGGUAUUUUCUGGACUUUUCAGGUAAACUAGACCGUUUUCACUCAAAACACUUACAAAACCCGAUUCCAUUGAAGUUGGGAAAUUGUGAUAAACGUAAAUAACUCAUAAACUUUAUUUAUUUUUUGUGAAUAAUAAUUAACUCAGAAUUUCAUGGCCAAAGUAAUUUGGACAGGGGCAUGUUAAUCACUAUGUUCCAUCACCUUUCCUUUUAACAACACUCAAUAAACAUUUGUGAACUGAGGAACUAAUUGUUGAAGCUUUGAAGGUGAAAUUCUUUCCCAUUCUCGCUUGAUGUUCAGCUUCAGUUGUCCAACAGUCCGGGGUCUCCGUUGUCGUAUUUUACGCUUCAUAAUGCACCACACAUUUUCAAUGGAAGACAGGUCUGGACUGCAGGCAGGCCAGUCGAGUACCCACACUCUUUUACUACGAAGCCACGUUGUUGUAACACAUGCAGAAUGUGGUUUGGCGUUGUGUCACUGAAAUAAGCAGGAGGGGCGUCCGUGAAAAAGACGUUGCUUGAAUGGCGGCAUAUGUUACUCCAAAACCUGUAUGUACCUUUCAGCAUUAAUGUUGCCUUCACAGAUGUGUGAGUUACCCAUGCUUUGGGCACUAAUGCACCCCCAUACCAUCAUAGAUGCUGGUUUUGAACUUUGCAUAGAUAACAGUCCAGAUGGAUCAUCGACGUCCACUAUUUCCAAAAACAAUUCUAAAUAUGGACUCGUCAGACCACAGAACACUUUUCCACUUUGCAUCAGUCCAUCUUAGAUGAGCUCGGGUCCAGAGAAGCCGGCAACGUUUCUCGAUGUUGUUGAUAAAUGGCUUUCUCUUUUCAUAGUAGAGUUUUAACUUACAGUUGUAGCGAUAAACUGUAUUUACUGACAGUGUUUUUCUGAAGUGUUCCUGAGCCCAUGUGGUGAUAUCCUUUACACAUUGAUGUCAGUUUUUGAUACAGCGCCCCCUGACGGAUCGAAGGUCACUGGCAUUCAAUGUUGGUUUCCGGCUGUGACGCUUACAAGCAGUGAUUUCUCCAGAUUCUCUGAUCCUUUUCAUGAUAUUAUGGACCGUAGAUGUUGAAAUCCCUAAAUUCCUUGCAAUUGUACUUUAAGAAGGCGCCCACCUGUUCCCUAUAAGCCUGCUCACCUGUGGGAUGUUCCAAAUAGGUGUUUGAUGAGCAUCCCUCAAAUUUCUCUGUAUUUUUUGCCACCGUUCCUAAACUACUUUGCUGCUAUCAAAUUCUAAAGUUCAUUAUUAUUUGCAAAAACAAUCAAUUUUAUGAGUUUGAACAUUAAAUAUCUUAUCUUUGUAGUGUAGAAAUUGAAUAUAGGUUGAAAAGGGUUCUUCCCAACUUCAUUGGAAUUGGGUUUUGUACUUUGAUUCGAGUUUUUUGCAGCGUUGUAAUUCCUCCGACUAUUUUUAAACAUUAGUCCAAGUUUAUCUUGACGCUUUUUGAUGAAACUGAACAUCUCCUAAAAACACAAGCCUCACUACAUCCACCUACACGAAGUAAACACAUUUAAACACCCAAAAUCCUCUUCAAUACUCCAUUCACCCGGAGAGUAAAACUGUUUUGGUUUCAUUCUGUUAUUUAGUGAAAUUUCUGCCAACACCAACACUGAGUGGUGAAUUACUCCUUUCUUCUCCGAGCCUCAGAAACUGACACUGAGAAAAUAAACCUCAGCGUGUCUUUAAAGACAAAAUGAAAUGUGUGUUUUUUUAGAUAAUCCAUAAACCCGUCAACAGUUUCACUGGAGGAAGUCCAGCUGAGCGUAAUCCCAAUAAAAACUGCCCACAGAGUUGAAACCAAAGAGAAGAGAGAAACAGAGAAAAUAGUUUGAAGUCAAUAAAAAAGAGAAACCCACUGAAUCGAAACGUUUAAUCCAGAGAUUAUUUGUGUCUCAUGUUAAGUUUAAACACAGUGAGAUAAAGUGUUUUAGUUUUAUUGUGAACCUUGAUCAAACACACACAGAGGCUGAAAAUAAGAUGUCAGGAGGAGAGGAGAUGGAUCUGGUGAAUUAAACCUUUUUUUUUUAACUUUCUGAUGCAACUCUCCAAAACAAAACUGUAAGUCAUCUGUGGAAAUGAUUCUUGCGUCACUCGCUCUGUCAAAGAUUGUUGUUUUGUUAUUCCUAGUAUACGCGCUCAUGUUUAUAUGAAUCCUGUAAGAGUGUGGAGAGAGAGAGGAAAGGGUUAAACGCAGAGAACCGUUCUCCCGGUUCUCUGGAGGAUCUUCAGAACAAACCGUCUGUUUGUGGGUAAAUAAAAGUGAAACUGCUUUGAAUCCUCUGAGCUCAGCCCCGAGAGUAAUCCUUCACACCACCGAGCGAGAAACAAACAGUGAGAGAGAGAAACAGAGAGAUAAAGAGAGAGAGAGAGAGAGAGAGGGGGGUGAUAAGAGGUGUAGAGGAGGAGGAGGAAGAUGAAAGAGGAGGAGAGGAAAGACGAAGCUUUGCAGUCAGAUUUUCUCCGUAAUGAGUUUCUUGUGUUUCAUGUUUAUGUUCAAACAUCCAGAAAGCAGUGAUGGUCUCCUGCAGCGUGUGCACGUGCCCCGACUAAAGGUGCUCUACAGGGGGGUCAGUCUUAAAAGGUACACUGGUGUUUAAUUUAGUAUCUGUGUAAAUAUUCAUGGUCAUUGUGUAAACAGCAGGUGCAGCUUAAAGGAGGAUUCAGAAACAGACAUCAUUCACUUUAAAGGUGUGGUAGUCAGGAUCUGAGUUAGUUCCAGUUUUUAGGAGAAAUCUUGAAUGUAAACUCUACCCCUCCAACCAGUUUUCCCCUCAGCUCCUCCUCUCCCCUCAAGCCCCGCCCACAAACAGUCACUCCUGCCCAGUCAAGGUGAAAGUCAAAAGCAUUGGUGCUACUGUAGAUGCCAACAGACUACCAGCAAACGCAAUGUUUGCAGGACUUCUACAACGAGGAUAAAGUGACAUAGUCCAGGACCCGAGGGAGGACAGUUUAGCGAUGGCGCUACAACACGCUACAGCAGGUCCGUUUGACAAGAAACACUUCUGUUACAGACACUUGUCUUACUUUGUUAAAGCGGUUUACCUGUCCAGCAGAAAGGUUUCAGGGUCACCAAGAUCCCCAAGCGUCCCCCAUCGUUUAUGUUGACCCGGCUUUUUAGCUCUUGUCCGGUCUACCUCUGUUUUAAGCGCCCGUUAUUCCUCCAGAGUCUCCGGUAUUUACUUUGUUUUCUUGCUUGUGUUUUCCGAACUUUCUGGUUGAUUUCUACUGUCCGAUAUUGUAGCACGCUAACUUUGUUUGGGCUUGUGAACGUUACUCAAGGACGUGGUCCAUGCCUCACAAUACGAGGGAGCCAAUCAGGUUGGGGGAGGCGGAGAACGGCUUUGUUUAAAUUCAGAAAGAGCGGACAGUUAAGAUUUAAAAUGUUGACUACACAGGCAUAACAAAACAAAAAUCGUUAUAUUACCAAAAUCAUCAAUGACUAAUAACUAUUGACUGAUAUUAAAAGCUUUUUUGUAUGAACAACACAAAAAAAGAUGCUUCUUUAAUGGAUUCCUGCCGACCCCACCUCUAAGUCAUAAUGUGGUGAAAUUCAAACCUUAUUGUUAUGAGAUUAAAAGUCAUAUUUUUGAGAAUUAAAGUGAUAUUGUAUCGAGAAUAAAGUCCAUUCAGUCAAAGAUUAGCCUCAUAAUGCUGUUUUGAAUCGAGAUAUCAUAUCCAAUCUUUCUGCUCAGUCUUCCCAGAGUCUUGAUUCUUGUUUAAACGUGGUGCUGAUGUUUUUACAGGCUAAGUUAUUUUGUUUUUAGCGAAUCUUAAACUCAAGUCCAAUUUAACAAGAUGCUCCAUGUUCCUCAUUUGGGCCUCACAGGCAGCUGGCUGAUCAGGAUUUUAUUCUAACGAGGAGUUAGAAGAAAGUUUUCACUGCGGCGCUGUUACUCCAUCAAAUACCAUAUUCGCUCACGCAGUCCCUCACAGAGCCGUUAACCUCUUCCCAUCUGUGUUUUGUCCCAUCUGUCUCCAAACAUGCUGUCGCCAUCGAAUUUGAAAUGUGCGUAAUUUUAAUAUGGGUUGAGUUUCCCCUGAUGGCCUGAGGAUCUAGUUACUGUACAUCCUGCUCUUAUUGCUCUCCAUAUUCUGCUGAUUUGUACUCCGACUACAAACGUACAACAAACAGAAACUGGAGCACUUCUCUCCCACUAUAAUCCAGACUCCAGAGUACAGAUUUCUAUGUGGGAACCUUUAAAUAGAGAUUUCCUGACAGCAGCUCAGCAGCAGACAAUAAAGCCUCCUCCUCGUGUUCAGCAGACUGACAGCGGUCUGUUGUUUGUGUUGCCGUGUGUGUCUCUGAGAUGAUAUCAGCCUCAUUAAAGGAGUUUGGUUUCAGACACUGUCGGCUCGUCUUCACUGACGUUUCCUGCGCCACUGUAAAGACAUAAAAAACAUGAAGUUUAGCCAACUUAUGUCCAAUAAUGAGGAAGAUCUUCGUCUGUAGGACUUUGCGUAUUUAGACGCACACACGUUGAACGCCGCCGUAAUGACGCCGCCGAGACUGUUUAGGACGAUUUAACAGGGAAAUUAGAAACGCAUUUUCUUAAUCAGCCGUUGUUUUAAAGGUAUGAAUGAAAAUGAUGAAAUAAUGGAGAAACAAUGAGGAGACAAAAGCAGCGAGGGGAUAUUUCGUUACCAUGGAAACCGUCUUCAAAAAAAAAAACCACACAUUCGCUCACACACCCACACCUGCUCAGCGUGUAAUAAUGACAGUCAAUCAGAACAGCGGAGGGUCAUAAUGGGUUUGUUUCAGGAACAUUCAGAGGACAGACACACACAAGUACACACACACACUCACACACAGACCCUAAUCAGGGAGUCUGUUACCGUGACAACAUGAGGAAGAGGAGCUGGUCCUUAUCUCUGAUCUUCUCACUGAUAGAGACUCCAGGUGAAUAUUCAGGUGCGACCUCUCAGCCAAUCAGCUGCCUGUUGGAGGUUUUACUCCAUGAUACGGAUUUAAUCUGCACAUAAUCUACUUCAGGAGGACUGAUUAUAAUCCUCAUCCCCAAAAAAUGACUUUUAAAUACCCGAUUAACAUCUUCUCAAAUUGAGUCUUCGACAGGUGAGCGCUCAGGUGUAAUUUGGCGUGAUUUCUGAUUAUCUAGUUACAUUAUUGUCCUUUCUGUUUAUAUGGAAGAGGCAGGCUCUGACCACCAGGGGGAGCUCUCUUUAGAUUUCACCCUCACUUUAGGGGAGUGACUGUGCUGUUCAUCUUUUACAGAGUCAGAGAUGCAGAUGGAGAGUGUAAAUCUCAGAGAGCUCAGAUGGAGACAGACACGGUCCAGAUUAACCAAACUCAGAUUAUAAAGUUUGAAAGUUUAUGUCUGAUUCACACAGUUUAAAUCUAAGAGAAGAAGAAGAAAUAAGGCGUGGCUGUAACUUAAUUAACAUUACAGUAUGGCAGUGCUUCCAGCUGAGUGUGUGUGUUGUGUAAGUUUGCGUGUUUCACAUUCCUCUGCACAGAAACAGCUAAUUGAAAACAGUCAAUCAUCGAUAAUCUCAACUGUGUGUGUCUGCUCUCUCAGCAUGGAGUCUGCGCACUGCUGCCCACACAGAUCCUCUAUGUCCGACAGGAGGGCUCACUCUGAGGGGAAACAGAGAAACAGACUUUAUCAGGCUGUUUUAUAUUUUAGAGGGAAAUGUUUUAGACAUUAAAACUCUUUAUUUUUAUCUCUUAUCAUACACUUUAAAACUUUUAUCAGUUUUAGCUGGAAAAACUCUAAUAUUCAGAAUUUAAAUGAUGUUCAGUUCAACAGCUCAAAUGUGAGUGUGUAUGAUAGCUUAAGAAAACAGCUUCUAAAUAAAAUUUAAAUGCACUUUUCGUGAUGAUUUCUGUCUCUGUUAAAAAAACUUCAACACCACUUUGCUCUUACAUACGACUGUUUCAGGGCAAGAUAUUUGCUCCCUUAUUUUCUGCACUGUGAAAACAGUGGAGGAGUAAUGGCGGUGCAAAGUUUGUGGUCCUCCCUCAAAGGUUGUAUCAGAGGCUUUUAGGGAGAAGGUGGUGGUUAGGUGUUGCCUUAAAGGGAUAUUCCGGCG